rnacentral:rRNA from 1 species
GACGAACGCUGGCGGCGUGCUUAACACAUGCAAGUCGAACGGAAAGGCCCUGCUUUUGUGGGGUGCUCGAGUGGCGAACGGGUGAGUAACACGUGAGUAACCUGCCCUUGACUUUGGGAUAACUUCAGGAAACUGGGGCUAAUACCGGAUAGGAGCUCCUGCUGCAUGGUGGGGGUUGGAAAGUUUCGGCGGUUGGGGAUGGACUCGCGGCUUAUCAGCUUGUUGGUGGGGUAGUGGCUUACCAAGGCUUUGACGGGUAGCCGGCCUGAGAGGGUGACCGGCCACAUUGGGACUGAGAUACGGCCCAGACGCCUACGGGAGGCAGCAGGGGGGAAUAUUGCACAAUGGGCGGAAGCCUGAUGCAGCAACGCCGCGUGCGGGAUGACGGCCUUCGGGGUGUAAACCGCUGUCGCCGGUGACGAAGCGUGAGUGACGGUAAUGGGUAAAGAAGCACCGGCUAACUACGUG